rnacentral:rRNA from 1 species
UACAGAGGUCUCAAGCGUUGUUCGGAUUCACUGGGCGUAAAGGGUGCGUAGGUGGUGGGGUAAGUCUGAUGUGAAAUCUCCGAGCUUAACUCGGAAACUGCAUCGGAUACUAUCUUGCUCGAGGGUUGGAGGGGGGACUGGAAUACUUGGUGUAGCAGUGAAAUGCGUAGAUAUCAAGUGGAACACCAGUGGCGAAGGCGAGUCCCUGGACAACUCCUGACACUGAGGCACGAAAGCUAGGGGAGCAAACAGG